rnacentral:rRNA from 1 species
UCCGGAUUUAUUGGGCGUAAAGGGCUCGUAGGCGGCUCGUCGCGUCCGGUGUGAAAGUCCAUCGCUUAACGGUGGAUCUGCGCCGGGUACGGGCGGGCUGGAGUGCGGUAGGGGAGACUGGAAUUCCCGGUGUAACGGUGGAAUGUGUAGAUAUCGGGAAGAACACCGAUGGCGAAGGCAGGUCUCUGGGCCGUCACUGACGCUGAGGAGCGAAAGCGUGGGGAGCGAACAGGAUUAGAUACCCUGGUAGUCCACGCCGUAAACGGUGGACGCUGGAUGUGGGGCACGUUCCACGUGUUCCGUGUCGGAGCUAACGCGUUAAGCGUCGCGCCUGGGGAGUACGGCCGCAAGGCUAAAACUCAAAGAAAUUGACGGGGGCCCGCACAAGCGGCGGAGCAUGCGGAUUAAUUCGAUGCAACGCGAAGAACCUUACCUGGGCUUGACAUGUUCCCGACGACCCCACAAAUGGCUUUCCCUUCGGGGCGGGUUCACAGGUGGUGCUGGUC